GUUCCGAGGCCGUUCGAAAGGAAAAAGCUCCAGCACAGUGAUUUGGAGCCCGCGUGUUUGGCCUACAGGACCGAGCACCAGCUAUCGCCGUGGAUAAAUCGAGCCUGUUGCAGUCAACUUCGGAGACUAGGGUGAGUACUUGGCGUUUUUAGAUCAUUCUUGUCUCCUUCAGCAUGGAUGGCCCGUCUUUUGCCUUCUGAGACUAGCCAGUUGUUUUAUAUCUUUUUGGUCCACUUUCGGGACUUGUACUCGUAUUUUAUUUUGUAGCAGCUCUGUACUUGUGACUUCCAGGUUCUGGGAGGGAUCUUUAGUUGUUUAAAACAUGUUUUGGUUUACUUCUGCUUAUUCA